CAGCUGACAAAAAUAUUUUGUAGAUAGCGUCUUUAUUGUGGUAUUUCUAGGGUUCCAAGAGCUUAAUACUUAAUAUCUGAUGACCCAUGAAGCUUUCUGCCUAUUCAAAUCCACUGUAUCCUGUGAAAAUGGGAUAAAAUUCCAAUUAACACAGGGGAACUAACGCCCAAUCUGGUAUUAAGCUGUUACUAGCGCCUAUAGAAUACGAAACUUUCAUUUCAGUUACCCGAGUUAACUUGAACAUCGUCCGAUCCGAACCACACCAGACUUUUUUAUAAAAAAUUAAGAUGAUGGAAUAAAAAAUACCAUAAGGUUUUGCAUUAUGGUCUUUC